UUCGAGCGGUUAUAGGUACAAUGUGGACCGAGCGACGGAAACUACUGGAAUCUAAUCCCGAUUUCCUUCCCGCAGGCUCAAUUACCUGUAUUGAGUGAAACGGCAUCACUGCAGCGAUUGAUUUUCUCUUUCUCGCUGAACUGUCAAAACACGGAUGCGAACAUUAUAAUAUUGAAGAAACAGUCUCAAAUAUCAACUGGUUUUUGUGUACUUAUUUUGCAGUUAGAAUACUUAUCGAUGCGGAAAAUAUUGCUAAAGUUUCUCUGCCUCGGAAGCAAGCAAAUAAAAAAACAGCAUAAGGAAUUCCCAAAUCGAAUUAUGGACAGAAUUGAAUUCCACGAUGGCAAAAUAAUGUUCCAUUAUUAUUGAGAGUAGCAGGAACAGCGAAAACAUGCAACUGAUUUGGAUGAUUGAAAGGAAGCUUAUGUGUAGUUUUAUCCCAAAUUCAACAAACGGCGAACAUCCUAGAAAAUAUAGCGAGUCAAAACAUUUUUUUAAUCUUUAUUUUUGAGACUGCCCAGGAGGCUGGUUCGUCUCAGGAUUCAAAACAUUAAAAAAAAUUUAAGCAUUAAAUUUGGCAAUUUGCACUUAACGAACAAUCGGGAAUGGCGAAGCUCUAGGAAGCGAAAAAACAGAAUGCUGGAUGCUGCGUAAGGUAUUUGGGAGAUCAUCGGUGCUCAAUACAAUACUGUACGUUCAGAAGAACAAAUGGCACUUGAAUAAUUGACAAGCACAAAUCUAUAUAUUAUUUAUGAUUAUGAGGAUGUGCCACUUUACUUCAAGAAAUCAACGCAAUCUCUAUGUUUCCUAUAAUCCCUAUAUAGAAAUAUAUGAAAAUGUAGAAUAGGUGGUUUAUUGCAAGUCUGUUUAACAUAAAACUGAAUUCGUAUCCAUGAUUCAACGUAUCCAACGUAUCCCGUAUCAAUGAUUUAUGCUAAAUGCUCCUGCUGUCGAUAUGUGAAUGUGACGAACACAAUCGAACGAGGAAAUUUCUGAUGAAUGAAAGCACCUGUUGGAAUUUCGUUUAUGACGAUACAAACGCUACGAAUGGUAUAGGAUAUCGUAACAGUGAAGAUUAACUGCUAUUCUAAGAGGUCGUUAUGUCUAGAUUUUUGCAUAUGGAUGCUGAGCAUGUUUUGCUUAUGAUCGAUGAGCUAGAGAAACGCCGGGCAAUAGCGACUAAAACGCACAAACACUAG